GGUGACCUUGUCUGCAAUCUUCCUCAUUUUCCCUUCUUUUUGGUAUGUGCAGGAAAGGUACCAGCAGAUUGAUCCAUUUGAGCAGUAUCCCUCAUAUCCACUUAAUCCAUUUCUAAAUCCAUAUGGCAAUCAAUACCCUUACUGAGUACGUACAGGACAAGAUUAGAGAGGCUUCACUCAAAAAUCCAGUUACAGCAUUUCUUUUCUCAUCCUUCACAUCACAGAAUAACUCCCUCACAUCAUGGGAAAGGACCACAGCACCAAGCAAAAUGAAGACCAGGAUCUAAUUUACUACCUUCUCCUCAGGAUAAUCACCUUCUUUAUUAAUCUUUCUUCAGACAAUCAAUCUCAUGCUCUGACGCUGAUUUCACUA
rnacentral:lncRNA from 1 species